rnacentral:rRNA from 1 species
GUGACAAUAUGUUCAACGGCCGCGGUAUCCUAACCGUGCAAAGGUAGCAUAAUCAUUUGCCUAUUAAUUGUAGGCUAGAAUGAAGGGGUUAACGAAAUAAAAGCUGUCUCAAUUAAUUAACUAAAAAUUAUUUUCUAUCCGAAGAAAGGUAGAUAAUCUCGAAGGACAAGAAGACCCUAUAGAGCUUAAUUUUAACUAUAGAAUCAUACUAUAUAAAUAUUCGGUUGGGGCGACCCAGGGCUAAUUAAUCACCCAUUAAAUAAAAGAUAAAUAAAUCUAAUAAAUGAUCCCCUAAAGAUCAUAAAACAAGCUACCUUAGGGAUAACAGGCUAAUCCCACUUAAGAGUCCUUAUCAAAAGUGGGGUUUGGCACCUCGAUGUUGGCUUAGGGUAUCUCUAUAGCG